rnacentral:rRNA from 1 species
AUGUUCCGCAAUCGCCUCCCUACCCCGGUCAACAUUGCCAAGCGCAAUGGACUUUCCGAGGGCCAAUGUCUUGUGUGUUCGGUACAGGAGGAUGGCAACCACACAUUCUUUCGCUGUUAUUUAGCUAAAUUUGCUUGGAUUGCUGUUAGGGAGGCCGUGGGGGUUAGCUGGAACCCUGCUUCUUGUGCCGAUUUGCUUACUUGCUUAUCUUAUGUGCAUGAUUCUUCUAAACUUGUGAUGUGGAGCUGUGUUGGGGCAUUGCUCUGGUCACUUCGGCAUAUCCAUAACAAGAUAACGAUCGCGGGGGUGUUUCCGUCGUACCCAGCUGACUGA